rnacentral:RNase_P_RNA from 1 species
UGGGCCGUCCGACCCGUCGCUACGUCCGGGACUCGUCCGGGACGUAGAGCAAAGUCCGGACUCGUAGUAGAGACCGCUCGGGCCAACAACCCGAGGUACGGAACGUGCAAGCGUCCGUAACGUCAAGUGCAACAGAGAGUAGACCAGCCGAUGACCGGGGAAUCUCUCCGGCACAGGUGAUGGGUGAAAGGGUGGGGUAAGAGCCCACCGGCGGUACCCUGAAAAGGACCGGCCAGGUAAACCACCGGCGCGAGCAAGCCAAAUUGUCUGGAACCCCAGACUGGUAGGUGCGGCUCCACAGAGGAGCGCGGGAGCGGUUAUCCGCCCCCGGAGAUGGAUGACGGGAUAAAGCAGGAUCCGGCUUACGGGACGGCCCAAGCC